CCCCAAGAGCUCAUAUCGACGGGGAGGUUUGGCACCUCGAUGUCGGCUCGUCACAUCCUGGGGCUGGAGAAGGUCCCAAGGGUUGAGCUGUUCGCUCAUUAAAGUGGCACGCGAGCUGGGUUCAGAACGUUCGCGAGACAGUUCGGUCCCUAUCUGUUGUGGGCGUAGGAUUAUUGACAGGUUCUGACUUUAGUACGAGAGGACCGAGUUGGACUGACCGCUGGUGUAUCAGUUGUUCUGCCAAGAGCAUCGCUGAGUAGCUACGUCGGGAUCAGAUAAGCGCUGAAAGCAUCUAAGUGCGAAACUGACCUGAAGAUGAGUAAUCCCUAUAAGGGCGGUCGUAGAUGACGACCUCGAUAGGUUGCAGAUGUAAAGGUAGAAAUACCAAAGUCAAGCAAUACUAAUUACCCAACAGCUUAUUUA
rnacentral:rRNA from 1 species